GCGGAGGAAAAGAAACCAACAGGGAUUGCCCUAGUAACGGCGAGUGAAGCGGGCAACAGCUCAAAUUUGAAAUCUGGCCCUAGGCCCGAGUUGUAAUUUGUAGAGGAUGUUUCUGGCGAAGUGCCUUCCGAGUUCCCUGGAACGGGACGCCAUAGAGGGUGAGAGCCCCGUACGGUUGGAUGCCUAGCCUCUGUGAAACUCCUUCGACGAGUCGAGUAGUUUGGGAAUGCUGCUCUAAAUGGGAGGUAUACGUCUUCUAAAGCUAAAUACCGGCCAGAGACCGAUAGCGCACAAGUAGAGUGAUCGAAAGAUGAAAAGCACUUUGAAAAGAGGGUUAAAUAGUACGUGAAAUUGUUGAAAGGGAAGCGGUUAUGACCAGACUUGGACAGGUUGAUCAUCCACGGUUCUCUGUGGUGCACUCUGCCUGUUCAGGCCAGCAUCAGUUCGCUUCGGGGGAUAAAGGCUUUGGGAAUGUGGCUCCCUCGGGAGUGUUAUAGCCCAUUGUGUAAUACCCUGAUCCGGACUGAGGUUCGCGCAUCUGCAAGGAUGCUGGCGUAAUGGUCAUCACCGACCCGUCUUGAAACACGGACCAAGGAGUCGUCUUCGUAUGCGAGUGUUCGGGUGUCAAACCCCUACGCGGAAUGAAAGUGAACGUAGGAGAGAGCUUCGGCGCAUCUCCGACCGAUCCUGAUGUUCUCGGAUGGAUUUGAGUAAGAGCAUACGGGGCCGGACCCGAAAGAAGGUGAACUAUGCCUGUGUAGGGUGAAGCCAGAGGAAACUCUGGUGGAGGCUCGCAGCGGUUCUGACGUGCAAAUCGAUCGUCAAACAUGGGCAUGGGGGCGAAAGACUAAUCGAACCUUCUAGUAGCUGGGUUUCCGCCGAAGUUUCCCUCAGGAUAGCAGUGUUGAACUCAGUUUUAUGAAGGUAAAGCGAAUGAUUAGGGACUCGGGGGGCUAUAUAUUGCCUUCAUCCAUUCUCAAACUUUAAAUAUGUAAGAAGCUCUUGUUGCUUAAUUGAACG
rnacentral:rRNA from 1 species